rnacentral:lncRNA from 1 species
AAUAAUGAACUUCUAACAAACUCCCAGGUUUGGGAAAGAGAACCUGAAGCCUGGACUCCAGAGCUGAUCCAGGAAACCGAAAGGGUGCGCGGAACAAUGAGUUCAUGACCGUAGACACAAUGUCGUUUCCACAUCGUUACUUCUUCAAAAACGGUGGAACAAGCUCACAUUUUGGUCAAAACAUUCAGAAAGAAAGACAAUCGUGAAAUAUGCACAAGGAUGGUUAGUUAGCCACGUCUACCAGCUGAUCCCACAGCAUUCUCAAUCCAGCGUAGAGACCCUCAUCUUCUGAUGUGUUCUGGGUCAACCCAAGGGUCUCCUCCUGGAAGGAUGAGGAGGAGCAGCAGCUCUACUCCGAGCUUCUGGGGGGGGGCUCAAGCUCCCUCUCCACCAGAGCUGAUCGGUUCAGUGUCCACAUCACUGCUAAUGCAGACCGGAUCCAGCUGGUGAUCUCCACUCCACCGGUCAAUCGGGAAGCUUUUUCUCCUCCACCAGCAGCAGGAAGUCGCCGCUGGUCCACUCCACCCAAAUCAUCCUUAAAUACUUGGAUUUGAACUAUUUCUCUCUGGAGUUGAACUCUUUACAGGAAAAUGAGUGUUUAAAUGUUUUCAGCUGAUUUUAAAACCAAACCAGCGCAGGUGCAGGUGCUGCGUGGUCUUCCAUAUGCAUUACAUUUGUUGUGAAUGAAAACGAAGAAGAGAAGAAACAAGAAAGGAGAGAGCUGCACUGGCGAUGGGAGGAGUGGUGGUGUUGUUGAGGUUAGAGGUGUUGAUGCUGCAGAGUGGAAGCCAGCGAGCACCAGGGAGCCGGAGAUGGGGAAGGAAGGGAGGCGUUGUCCUAAAAAGUUUGGCUGACUCUCCGGGAGGCUGUGGGUGGGCUGUAGAGGAUGGAUCGCGUCUUUUUAAAGACAAAUGAGCUGUUUCCAGGGGUUUACACUAAUUAAUGCCUCCGAAAAUAAACGUAAGAUCAUUCAUUCAUAACUUGUUGAUUAACAAAAGCUUCAUGAAAGUUUUUCUGUAAUUCUGUGGGCUGGUGCCUAUCUCCAGCGGUCAGUGGGCAAUCAGGCGGGGUACACCCUGGACAGAGAGCCAGUCCAUCGCAUAUUAUUUAUUUUCCUGUCUGUAAAAUGUUUUUAACCCGCUAAAAGUUUGUUUUAAUCACAUCUUGUAAAUAAAGACGAUGUUUAUUCUGAGCUUGAUUUUAUUUCUCAGAAGGUUUAUUUUUCCUCUGAAUUUCCUUCUUAAACUAAAUUAAAACCAGAAAUCUGUUUCGUUUCCGGGGGAACCCGGUGGUUCGUAUUCUAGCCGGUGCCUUUUCGUUCACGUUGUCCACAAACUUUCAUUAUUUCAUGUUUUCUCAGCAUUUCAUAGUUAAAGACCUAUCUGCUCUACGAAUGCAUCACAAAUUACACGAUUUAUAGAUCCGCAGCAUUGAAGCCAGAAAAGUUCCACUUGUGAGUUUGAUAAUUACACAGGAUCUUUCAUGGAGGUAAAGUCAAAGAGUCGGAGUACCCGGCCCGGAGGCUUACUGGGGUCCCACCCUGGAGCCAGGCCUGGGGUUGGGGUCCGUGAGCGAGCGCCUGGUGGCCGGGCUUUCGCCCAUGGGGCCCGGCCGG